GCCUCGUUAGCUCAGCGGUAGAGCAUUCGGCUUUUAACCGAAUGGUCGUGGGUUCGAUACCCACACGAGGCG